GGUGCCGUGGUUAGCUGGUUAAAGCACCUGUCUAGUAACCAGACCCUGGGUUCGAAUCCCAGGGGUGCCU
rnacentral:tRNA from 1 species